GGAAAACUCACCAGGUCCAGACAUAAUAAGGAUUGACAGAUUGAUAGCUCUUUCUUGAUUUUAUGGGUGGUGGUGCAUGGCCGUUCUUAGUUCGUGGAGUGAUUUGUCUGGUUAAUUCCGUUAACGAACGAGACCUUAACCUGCUAAAUAGAAGUGCCUAUCUUCGGAUAAGCGCCUUUCUUCUUAGAGGGACUUUGUGCGUUUCAGCGCAAGGAAGUUUGAGGCUAAAA
rnacentral:rRNA from 1 species